rnacentral:rRNA from 1 species
UACAGAGGGUGCGAGCGUUAAUCGGAUUUACUGGGCGUAAAGGGCGCGUAGGUGGUAAGGCAAGUAAGAUGUGAAAGCCCUGGGCUUAACCUGGGAAGUGCAUCUUAAACUGCCUAACUAGAGUAUGGUAGAGGGUAGUGGAAUUUCCGGUGUAGCGGUGAAAUGCGUAGAUAUCGGGAGGAACACCUGUGGCGAAAGCGGCUCACUGGACCACAACUGACGCUGAGGCGCGAAAGCUAGGGGAGCAAACAGG